rnacentral:rRNA from 1 species
UACGUAGGCAGCGAGCGUUGUUCGGAGUUACUGGGCGUAAAGGGUGUGUAGGCGGUUUUCUAAGUUUGGUGUGAAAUCUCCCGGCUCAACCGGGAGGGUGCGCCGAAAACUGGGAGACUAGAGUGCGGGAUGGGAGAGUAGAAUUCCUGGUGUAGCGGUGAAAUGCGUAGAUAUCGGAAGGAACGCCGGUGGCGAAAGCGGCGUGCUGGGCCUUCUCUGACGCUGAGGCGCGAAAGCGUGGGGAGCAAACAGG